rnacentral:rRNA from 1 species
AUACGGAGGAUCCGAGCGUUAUCCGGAUUUAUUGGGUUUAAAGGGUGCGCAGGCGGGAGAUUAAGUCGGCGGUGAAAUUUUGCAGCUCAACUGUAAAAGUGCCUUCGAAACUGGUUUCCUUGAGUGUAGAUGAAGUAGGCGGAAUUUGUGGUGUAGCGGUGAAAUGCAUAGAUAUCACGAGGAACUCCGAUUGCGCAGGCAGCUUACUAAACUACUACUGACGCUCAGGCACGAAGGCGUGGGGAUCAAACAGGAUUAGAUACCCUGGUAGUCCACGCGGUAAACGAUGAUUACUAGCUGUUUGCGAUACAAUGUAAGCGGCUGAGCGAAAGCGUUAAGUAAUCCACCUGGGGAGUACGUUCGCAAGAAUGAAACUUAAAGGAAUUGACGGGG